UAAGCGGAGGAAAAGAAACUAACAAGGAUUCCCCUAGUAACUGCGAGUGAAGCGGGAAAAGCUCAAAUUUAAAAUCUGGUGGUCUUUGGCCANCCGAGUUGUAAUUUAGAGAAGCGUCUUCCGCGCUGGGCCGUGCACAAGUCUCCUGGAAUGGAGCGUCACAGAGGGUGAGAAUCCCGUCUUUGGCAUGGACACACCAGGGCUUUUGUGAUGCGCUCUCGAAGAGUCGAGUUGUUUGGGAAUGCAGCUCAAAAUGGGUGGUGAACUCCAUCUAAAGCUAAAUAUUGGCGAGAGACCGAUAGCGAACAAGUACCGUGAGGGAAAGAUGAAAAGCACUUUGGAAAGAGAGUGAAACAGUACGUGAAAUUGUUGAAAGGGAAACGCUUGAAGUCAGUCGCGUCGACCGAGACUCAGCCUUGCCUUGGCCUGUGUACUUCUCGGCCGACGGGUCAGCAUCAAUUUUGCCCCUUGGAUAAUGAUGAGGGAAACGUGACACCUUUAUGGUGUGUUAUAGUCUCUUGUCGCAUGCAAGGGUCGGGAUUGAGGAACUCAGCACGCACCUUUGGGUGUCGGGGCUUUGCCCACGAUACGUGCUUAGGAUGUUGGCGUAAUGGCUUUAAACGACC
rnacentral:rRNA from 1 species